rnacentral:rRNA from 1 species
UACAGAGGUCUCAAGCGUUGUUCGGAUUCAUUGGGCGUAAAGGGCGCGUAGGCGGCGGGGUAAGUCUGCUGUGAAAUCUCGGAGCUCAACUCCGAAAUUGCACUGGAUACUGCUCUGCUUGAGGGUUGGAGAGGAGAUCGGAAUUCACGGUGUAGCAGUGAAAUGCGUAGAUAUCGUGAGGAAGACCAGUGGCGAAGGCGGAUCUCUGGACAAAUCCUGACGCUGAGGCGCGAAGGCUAGGGGAGCAAACGGG